rnacentral:sRNA from 1 species
GCCGGGUGCGGUGGUGUACACCUAUAAUCCCAGUGGCUCAGGAGGCUGAGGCAGGAGGAUCAGGAGUUCAGAGCCAGCCUCAG